UACGGAGGGUGCAAGCGUUGUCCGGAAUCACUGGGCGUAAAGGGCGCGUAGGCGGCUCGGUAAGUAGGGGGUGAAAUCCUGCGGCUCAACCGCAGGGCUGCCUUCUAAACUGUCGAGCUCGAGCACGGUAGAGGCAGAUGGAAUUCCCGGUGUAGCGGUGGAAUGCGUAGAGAUCGGGAAGAACAUCAGUGGCGAAGGCGGGUCUCUGGGCAAUUCCUGACGCUGAGGCGCGAAAGCGUGGGGAGCAAACGGG
rnacentral:rRNA from 1 species